CGGGGUGAGUAACGCGUGGGUAACCUGCCUCAUACAGGGGGAUAACAGUUAGAAAUGACUGCUAAUACCGCAUAAGCGCACAGUGCUGCAUGGUACAGUGUGAAAAACUCCGGUGGUAUGAGAUGGACCCGCGUCUGAUUAGCUAGUUGGUGGGGUAACGGCCUACCAAGCCGACGAUCAGUAGCCGACCUGAGAGGGUGACCGGCCACAUUGGGACUGAGACACGGCCCAA
rnacentral:rRNA from 1 species